rnacentral:rRNA from 1 species
AGCAGCCGCGGUAAUUCCAGCUCCAAUAGCGUAUAUUAAAGUUGUUGCAGUUAAAAAGCUCGUAGUUGAAUUUCGGGAUCAAUAUAUCGGUCGUGCCUUGGUACGUACUGGUAUCAUUGGUUUCUCCUUUCUGACGAACCAUGAUGUCAUUAAUUUGGUGUUAUGGGAAGUUAGGACUGUUACUUUGAAAAAUUGAGUGUUUAAAGCAGGCUUUGGCUUGAAUACAUUAGCAUGGAAUAAUGAAAUAGGACGUUUGAUUCUAUUUUGUUGGUUUCUAGGAUCGACGUAAUGAUUAAUAGGGAUAGUUGGGGGCAUUAGUAUUCAAUUGUCAGAGGUGAAAUUCUUGGAUUUAUUGAAGACUAACUACUGCGAAAGCAUUUGCCAAGGAUGUUUUCAUUAAUCAAGAACGAAAGUUAGGGGAUCGAAGACGAUCAGAUACCGUCGUAGUCU